rnacentral:rRNA from 1 species
CAGUCGCCGCGGUAAAACGAAGGGGGCUAGCGUUGUUCGGAAUCACUGGGCGUAAAGCGCACGUAGGCGGACUUUUAAGUCAGGGGUGAAAUCCCAAGGCUCAACCUUGGAACUGCCUUUGAUACUGGAAGUCUUGAGUUCGGGAGAGGUGAGUGGAACUGCGAGUGUAGAGGUGAAAUUCGUAGAUAUUCGCAAGAACACCAGUGGCGAAGGCGGCUCACUGGCCCGAUACUGACGCUGAGGUGCGAAAGCGUGGGGAGCAAACAGGAUUAGAUACCCGCGUAGUCCCUGUCUCUUAUAA